CAGCCGCCGCGGGAAUACGGAGGGUGCAAGCGUUAAUCGGAAUUACUGGGCGUAAAGCGCACGCAGGCGGUCUGACAAGUCAGAUGUGAAAUCCCCGGGCUUAACCUGGGAACUGCAUUUGAAACUGUCAGGCUGGAGUCUUGUAGAGGGGGGUGGUAUUCCAGGUGUAGCGGUGAAAUGCGUAGAGAUCUGGAGGAAUACCGGUGGCGAAGGCGGCCCCCUGGACAAAGACUGACGCUCAGGUGCGAAAGCGUGGGGAGCAAACAGGAUUAGAUACCCCUGUAGUCCCUGUCUCUUAUAC
rnacentral:rRNA from 1 species